rnacentral:rRNA from 1 species
UACAGAGGUCCCAAGCGUUGUUCGGAUUCAUUGGGCGUAAAGGGUGCGUAGGUGGCGCCGUAAGUCGGGUGUGAAAUUUCGGAGCUUAACUCCGAAACUGCAUUCGAUACUGCGGUGCUUGAGGACUGGAGAGGAGACUGGAAUUCAUGGUGUAGCAGUGAAAUGCGCAGAUAUCAGGAGGAACACCGGUGGCGAAGGCGGGUCUCUGGGCCGAUACUGACGCUGAGGAGCGAAAGCGUGGGGGAGCGAACAGG